rnacentral:lncRNA from 1 species
GCCUUUUAGGGUUGCCAAAAGCUCUCAAAAAUGGUAGAAUAUGGGGUAUUUAUAGGGUUAGGGCCAGCUAUAUAAGGUUUAAUGGAGAAAUAUUCUCUAAAUAUUCCCAAGAUAUUUAAUAGGAGCUAAUAUCUUGAGAUAAUAGGAUAAUAAUCCUUAAUUGAUUUAAAUUAGGAUUACUUACUUGAUUGGAGUCAAUCUUC